UGGGGCGUGGCCGAGGGGAUAGGCGCCGGGUUUUGGUUCCGGUCUACGAGGGUUCGAAUCCUUCCGCCCCAG
rnacentral:tRNA from 2 species